rnacentral:rRNA from 1 species
UACGGAGGUGGCUAGCGUUGUUCGGAAUUACUGGGCGUAAAGCGCGCGUAGGCGGACCUGCAAGUCGGGGGUGAAAGCCCGAGGCUCAACCUCGGAACUGCCUUCGAUACUGCGGGUCUCGAGUCCGGGAGAGGUGAGUGGAAUUCCUAGUGUAGAGGUGAAAUUCGUAGAUAUUAGGAAGAACACAAGUGGCGAAGGCGGCUCACUGGCCCGGUACUGACGCUGAGGCGCGAAAGCGUGGGGAGCAAACAGG